rnacentral:rRNA from 1 species
AGUCGUAACAAGGUCUCCGUAGGUGAACCUGCGGAGGGAUCAUUACACAAAUAUGAAGGCGGGCUGGAACCUCUCGGGGUUACAGCCUUGCUGAAUUAUUCACCCUUGUCUUUUGCGUACUUCUUGUUUCCUUGGUGGGUUCGCCCACCACUAGGACAAACAUAAACCUUUUGUAAUUGCAAUCAGCGUCAGUAACAAAUUAAUAAUUACAACUUUCAACAACGGAUCUCUUGGUUCUGGCAUCGAUGAAGAACGCAGCGAAAUGCGAUAAGUAGUGUGAAUUGCAGAAUUCAGUGAAUCAUCGAAUCUUUGAACGCACAUUGCGCCCUUUGGUAUUCCAAAGGGCAUGCCUGUUCGAGCGUCAUUUGUACCCUCAAGCUUUGCUUGGUGUUGGGCGUCUUGUCUCUAGCUUUGCUGGAGACUCGCCUUAAAGUAAUUGGCAGCCGGCCUACUGGUUUCGGAGCGCAGCACAAGUCGCACUCUCUAUCAGCAAAGGUCUAGCAUCCAUUAAGCCUUUUUUUCAACUUUUGACCUCGGAUCAGGUAGGGAUACCCGCUGAACUU